rnacentral:rRNA from 1 species
UACAGAGGGUGCGAGCGUUAAUCGGAAUUACUGGGCGUAAAGCGCGCGUAGACGGUUUUGUAAGUCAGAUGUGAAAUCCCUGGGCUCAACCUGGGAACUGCAUUUGAGACUGCAUGGCUAGAGUAUGGAAGAGGGAAGUGGAAUUUCCGGUGUAGCGGUGAAAUGCGUAGAUAUCGGAAGGAACACCAGUGGCGAAGGCGACUCUUUGGCCUGUAACUGACGCUGAGGCGCGAAAGCGUGGGGAGCAAACAGG